ACGCGAGAUCCUUGUAUAAUUUCAUAUUGAUCGUAUGAGUGUUUUGUUAGCUCAAAACAUGGUGGACAAAGGAUUAAAAUUAACAGAAAAGGUCCAAUGGCUUCUAAACCAGAUGUUAAAAAGAGUACAGAGGCAGCUGAUGCAGUUGAGGGAAGAACAAUACCACAAUGUAAACCUUGCUCCACGAAUAACAAGACUACAGCUGCUCAAGUGUAUUGCCAUGAUUGCAAAGAGUUCCAGUGCUCAGAAUGUUCUGACCAUCACAACGCGUUUGCCUUCAUGUCUGGCCACAAUAUUGUCGACUGGAAGCUUAAGGAUCCCGAGGAAAAGGUUGUCAACAUGUUUGGGUUUGAUAAAUGCACUGAACAUGGGAAUCCUGUGACAAUCUAUUGUGAAGACCAUGACGUGUUUUGUUGUUCGACUUGUGGUUUCUCACGACACAAGCUUUGUGAGAAAGCAAAAGGUAUUCAUGAGUUUUCAGUUGAUGUAAAUGUAGUUCGGGACACACUUGCAGCUUGUAAUAAAAAGGCUAUAAAUUGUAUGCAUGCUCUAAAUGAAAUUGGAUUGAAAGAAGAACGGGAAAUAAUAAAAAAGGCUGAUUUACUUAAAUCAGAGAUUAAUAAAAAAAGUAGACAGGGAUACGACAUUGGCCAUGAAAGAUAUUCAAACAUUGGCAGGUGCUUUGAAAUCGUCGAAAGAAGAAAACAUUUCAGAAUUAUCGCACAUCCAGGUUGAUCUUGUUCUAUGGGAAAACAGUUUAAAUGCUGCAUUCGAAAAAAACUUGCAUGAUCAAAGCUUUAUUCUUUGCAAAUAUCUUAAACUGAGGACCAUUGAAAUCAGUGGAUUUCUGAACAAGCAAUCGUAUGACACAAUUCCUAUUCCAGUACAUGCUGAAUGUCACCAAGUCAUAGAAACCCUCGUAAAUGGUGAGGAAAAACUGAUUACAUUGUGCAGAGAUGAUGCUUCCAUCCAUGAAUCUGGCUCUGAAGCUUUAGAAAGCAACAUAAAAGCCGCAGAAAAAAUUGGGAAUAAUUCAACAGACAGUGUUAAAGACACAAACAACUACCAAAGGAUACAAGACUCUACAUUUAACUAGAUCGGUUAGGCAAGAUGUUACAAAUCAGAAAAGUUACAUUACAGGAAUAGACUUCUUUCCAGAUGGCAGACUGAUUGCUGUUGAUAACUAUAAAAAGAAGGUUUUUUUGAUAAAUGGCAAUAUGCAAAUACUUGGAAAAAAAUUCCAUUUUUAUAUCUUUCCAUAUGACGUUUGUGUGUAUAAAGAAAACAGAGCUGUAGUUACAACAGGCACGAUAUUAUAUUUUCUACAGGUAGACCAAAACAACUGUAUAACACUGUGUGCGAAAGUUUCAACAUCUACACCCUUUUACUCAAUUACCACAUUCAACUGCUCAAUGUUUCUUUGUAGCUCAUACGAUAAUGACAAAUGUCCAGUGUGUGUUGUUGAUUUUGAAGGAAAUGAGACAAGCUUUACAGAUACAGGCUUUCCUGAUACGAAAUAUAAAUUUGAGGAAAGUUUUUCCACCUACAUCAUUCGUUUGGGAAUAAUUGUACUGACAGACAAAAAUAACAGCAAAGUGUAUAUGUUUAACAUCUUGUCUGGAAAAAAUAAAACUGUGAAAGACGAGCGUAAACAAGAGCCUGCAAGGGCAUGUGUGGCCCCUGAUGACACGGUGUUUGUGAGCUGUGAAGGAAAUGAUACCAUUGUCCGCAUUUAUCCAGAGGGACAAGUCUUGCAGGCUCUAGAGCUUAGUUUUGCCCCUAGGGAAGUGAAUUGUUUUAUGGAUACACAUCUUGUUGUAUCGGCAUGGGACAAAGAGUUCAAACUUCAUCUGUUCAAACUAGCUUAUCAAGAAAGGAAGUGAACACGCGCAUUCUGCUAACGUCUAUUAUUAUCAUCGUGGAAAUGACAGUAGUAGAGAGUGAACGACAAAGAUGUCUAAGCUUUUUUGUUUUAUAUUGUCAUUAUACUUAUAAUUUAAAGUUAUAAUUUACUAGUGCAAAAUUAUAUCUAAUACAUGUACUUAUUAUCAUUUUAAAUUAAAAGUUAAUGUUGA